CAUGGCUCAGAUUGAACGCUGGCGGCAUGCUUUACACAUGCAAGUCGAACGGCAUUGGGGUAGUGCUUGCACUACUGCCGGCGUGUGGCGAACGGGUGAGUAAUAUAUCGGAACGUACCUAGUAAUGGGGGAUAACCAAUCGAAAGAUUGGCUAAUACCGCAUACGUCCUGAGGUAGAAAGCGGGGGAUCGUAAGACCUCGCGUUAUCCGAGCGGCCGAUAACUGAUUAGCUAGUUGGUGGGGUAAAGGCCUACCAAGGCGACGAUCAGUAGCGGGUCUGAGAGGACGAUCCGCCACACUGGGACUGAGACACGGCCCAGACUCCUACGG
rnacentral:rRNA from 1 species